GGGCUAGUCAAGGUUUCGACAGGGGUCUUGCAGCUGGAGAAGCUAUCCGCAGGUGAUGCGUCAAAUCACAAAUUAAAUACAAACGCUAACAACGAAUUAGCAUACGCUGCCUAAUGGCAGCUGUCCGACUUAGAGCACUCACACUUUAAGACCCGGGCAUCAACUAUGUGAGAAACGAUGCAGGUUAAGCUUUGUCCCUGCAGGCGUAUCAUGAAGCUACCGAAUGGAUCAGGGUGUCUGCUCCCGGAUUCAGGAGGGAACGGUGCCGGAGCAAGACCGGCGGCAAAUAGACAGACUAUGAUAGUAGAAGGACAGGGAAUGGGCUUUUGGACACGGGUUCGACUCCCGUCUAGUCCACUA
rnacentral:tmRNA from 1 species